UACAGAGGAUGCAAGCGUUAUCCGGAAUGAUUGGGCGUAAAGCGUCUGUAGGUGGCUUUUUAAGUCCGCCGUCAAAUCCCAGGGCUCAACUCUGGACAGGCGGUGGAAACUACCAAGCUCGAGUACGGUAGGGGCAGAGGGAAUUUCCGGUGGAGCGGUGAAAUGCGUAGAGAUCGGGAGGAACACCAGUGGCGAAGGCGGCUACCUGGACCAGCACUGACACUGAGGCACGAAAGCGUGGGGAGCAAACAGG
rnacentral:rRNA from 1 species